rnacentral:lncRNA from 1 species
UACACGAAGAGCAUAGUGCCUGGGUCACCCUGGAACUCACCCGUGACAACGUAAAUCGAAUGAAAUGCCGUUUAGCCGUUUGCUGUUAGUUUCGGUUGUGGUUUGCCGAGUGAAGAUGUGAGACGAGAUUGGCCGCGUGACUGGUAACAACAUAAUGUGUCUGAAAAUUUUAUUUUCAUCAUCUUUGUGUACGGUAUAGCGGCGUUUCACUUUUUCCGGCAUUGUAACGACUGCAAUUGCUAGUUUGCCACCAGAGGGCCACGUAUCGAACCGAAACUCAAGAUGGCAGCUGUUUGAAAUGAAACAGCUGACCACAAACCGUCGCUUACCGAGCAUCCCCGUAAACUGACGGCAGCAGUAUGUCUUGUUGGUAGUUGCUGUCUUGGUGCAUUCGCUGACACUAGUGUUGGAACUGAAGCGCAAAAUGACAGCGUCUACGCUUGCAGUGAAUAAUUGACGCAGGAUCGUCGGCUACUGAGCGUGGGUAAUCCCUGUAAAGUAGCGGUGGCAGUAUGUCGUGUUGAUGGUUGCUGUCUCGGAGAGUUCUCUCAUAGUACUGCUGAAAUCGUUGUCAAUGGACGCGCACCAGACGAUGUAUGCCUGGUCGUCACGACUGCAAUGCUUCGAGAGAACAUUCAACUCGAAUCGCCUCUAGUACGACACCGACAACUGUAUCGUCUGCUGCGUCGACGAAAUAUGACAUUCAACGGCCCACAAGUUCAAGAAGAGUGUACUGCAAAGCAUUUAUUCAUGAUGCUGAAUAAAAGAGUCCAGUGGCGGUCUGUA